rnacentral:circRNA from 1 species
GUUGACCCCCUGUUUACAGUGCCAGCGCCACCACCGCCGAUUUCCAGCAGUCUCACGCCUCAGAUUCUACCCUCCUACUUUUCCCCAUCUUCAUCCAAUAUUGCAGCACCGGUUGAACAGCUUUUGGUUCGGACUCGUUCUGUGGGUGUCAAUACAUGUGAAGUUGGAGUAGUGACAGAGCCAGAGUGUCUUGGGCCCUGUGAACCUGGGACCAGUGUGAAUUUGGAAGGGAUCGUGUGGCAUGAAACAGAAGAAGGUGUCCUAGUGGUCAAUGUCACGUGGAGGAACAAAACGUACGUGGGAACCCUACUGGACUGCACCAAGCACGACUGGGCCCCUCCCAGGUUUUGUGAGUCACCGACAAGUGACCUGGAGAUGAGAGGGGGCCGGGGCAGAGGGAAGAGAGCGAGGUCUGCUGCUGCUGCCCCGGGCUCCGAGGCCAGCUUCACAGAGUCCAGAGGGCUGCAGAAUAAGAACAGAGGGGGGGCCAAUGGGAAAGGGAGGCGGGGCAGCCUCAAUGCCAGCGGACGAAGGACACCCCCAAAUUGUGCUGCUGAGGAUAUCAAAGCCAGCCCUUCCUCCACCAACAAAAGGAAAAACAAGCCUCCAAUGGAGCUGGACCUGAACUCCAGCUCUGAGGACAAUAAGCCUGGAAAGCGUGUCCGCACAAAUUCCAGAAGCACUCCCACUACCCCUCAAGGGAAACCAGAGACUACUUUUUUGGACCAAGGCUGCUCUUCUCCAGUGUUAAUCGACUGUCCCCACCCAAACUGCAACAAAAAGUACAAGCACAUUAACGGCCUGAGGUACCACCAGGCUCAUGCACACUUAGACCCAGAAAACAAGCUGGAGUUCGAGCCUGACAGUGAGGACAAGAUCUCGGACUGUGAGGAAGGAUUGAGUAAUGUGGCACUUGAAUGCAGUGAGCCAAGCACAAGUGUAUCUGCUUAUGACCAGUUGAAGGCACCGGCAUCCCCUGGUGCUGGAAACCCACCUGGGACCCCAAAGGGAAAGAGAGAGCUGAUGAGCAAUGGCCCAGGUUCCAUUAUUGGUGCUAAAGCUGGGAAGAAUUCUGGCAAAAAGAAGGGCCUUAACAAUGAACUGAACAACCUUCCAGUAAUCUCCAACAUGACGGCUGCGUUAGACAGUUGCUCGGCAGCAGACGGCAGUUUGGCUGCUGAGAUGCCUAAACUGGAAGCAGAAGGAUUAAUUGACAAGAAAAAUUUAGGAGAUAAAGAAAAGGGCAAAAAAGCUACCAACUGCAAAACGGACAAAAACCUCUCUAAACUGAAAAGUGCCCGGCCCAUUGCCCCUGCCCCAGCCCCCACUCCCCCGCAGCUAAUCGCUAUACCCACUGCAACCUUUACAACGACCACCACUGGGACAAUACCCGGACUGCCCUCCCUCACAACAACUGUUGUUCAGGCUACACCAAAGAGUCCUCCGUUAAAACCCAUUCAACCAAAGCCCACAAUUAUGGGAGAGCCCAUCACCGUGAACCCAGCUCUGGUGUCACUCAAAGACAAAAAGAAAAAGGAGAAGCGAAAGCUAAAGGACAAAGAAGGGAAAGAGACGGGAAGCCCAAAAAUGGAUGCCAAGCUGGGGAAACUAGAGGACUCCAAGGGGGCCAGCAAAGAUUUACCUGGGCAUUUUUUAAAGGAUCAUCUCAACAAGAAUGAAGGGCUGGCAAAUGGACUGUCGGAGUCUCAGGAGAGCCGCAUGGCCAGUAUCAAAGCUGAGGCCGAUAAGGUUUACACUUUCACAGACAACGCUCCCAGCCCUUCCAUAGGGAGCGCCUCGAGGCUGGAAUGCAGCACUUUGGUGAACGGGCAGGCACCAAUGGCACCUCUGCAUGUGUUGACCCAGAAUGGGGCAGAGAGUUCAGCUGCAAAGACAAGCAGCCCGGCCUAUUCAGACAUAUCUGAUGCUGCUGACGAUGGUGGUUCUGACAGCAGGUCGGAGGGUAUGAGAUCAAAGGCCAGUUCCCCAUCAGAUAUUAUUUCUAGUAAGGACAGUGUUGUAAAAGGGCAUUCUUCAACUACAGCACAAUCAUCUCAACUGAAAGAGUCCCAUUCUCCCUAUUACCACAGCUAUGAUCCUUAUUAUUCUCCAAGUUACAUGCACCCUGGGCAGGUCGGUGCCCCUGCAGCUGGAAAUAGUGGGAGCACGCAGGGAAUGAAGAUCAAGAAGGAGUCUGAGGAAGAUGCUGAAAAGAAAGACAAGGCAGAGCAGUUAGAUUCUAAGAAAGUGGACCACAAUUCUGCAUCCUUACAGCCUCAGCACCAGUCGGUGAUCACACAAAGACAUCCUGCCCUGGCUCAGUCACUUUAUUAUGGCCAGUAUGCAUAUGGGCUCUAUAUGGACCAGAAGUCUCUGAUGGCCACCAGCCCUGCCUAUAGACAGCAGUAUGAGAAGUACUAUGAGGACCAGAGGCUGGCAGAGCAGAAAAUGGCCCAGACUGGGAGAGGAGACUGUGAAAGGAAAAGUGAGCUCCCCUUGAAAGAGCUGGGCAAGGAGGAAACUAAACAGAAAAAUAUGCCAUCGGCCACAAUCUCAAAAGCUCCCUCUACUCCGGAGCCUAACAAAAACCAUUCUAAACUAGGGCCAUCAGUGCCUAAUAAAACUGAGGAGACAGGUAAAUCGCAGCUUCUCUCCAAUCACCAGCAGCAGCUUCAGGCCGACAGCUUCAAAGCUAAGCAGAUGGAAAACCACCAGCUUAUUAAGGAGGCUGUAGAAAUGAAGUCUGUCAUGGACUCUAUGAAGCAGACAGGUGUAGACCCAACCUCGAGAUUUAAACAAGACCCAGAUUCAAGAACAUGGCAUCAUUAUGUAUACCAGCCCAAAUAUCUGGAUCAGCAAAAGUCAGAAGAACUUGAUAGAGAGAAGAAAUUAAAAGAGGAUAGUCCGAGGAAAACUCCUAAUAAAGAGAGUGGUGUGCCCAGCCUUCCUGUAUCGUUAACAAGCAUUAAAGAGGAGCCCAAAGAGGCCAAGCAUCCUGAUUCUCAAUCAAUGGAGGAGAGCAAGCUGAAAAAUGAUGAUCGAAAGACUCCUGUGAACUGGAAGGACUCUCGGGGAACAAGAGUGGCUGUCUCCUCACCCAUGAGUCAGCAUCAGUCAUACAUACAGUACUUGCAUGCUUAUCCUUACCCACAGAUGUACGACCCCAGCCAUCCUGCAUACCGGGCUGUUUCUCCCGUCCUAAUGCACAGUUAUCCUGGGGCAUAUCUCUCUCCAGGAUUUCAUUAUCCUGUUUAUGGGAAGAUGUCAGGGAGAGAAGAGACAGAGAAAGUCAAUACCAGCCCUAGCGUCAACACGAAAACAACCACUGAAUCUAAAGCACUGGAUUUGCUCCAGCAGCAUGCUAACCAAUACCGCAGCAAGUCUCCUGCUCCUGUGGAAAAGGCUACAGCUGAGCGGGAACGGGAGGCAGAAAGGGAAAGGGAUCGCCACUCCCCCUUCGGCCAGCGGCACCUGCACACGCACCACCACACCCACGUUGGCAUGGGUUACCCGCUAAUCCCGGGUCAAUAUGACCCUUUUCAAGGCUUGACCUCUGCUGCCCUUGUUGCCUCUCAGCAGGUGGCUGCCCAGGCAUCUGCAUCUGGAAUGUUUCCUGGACAAAGAAG